rnacentral:rRNA from 1 species
AUUGAACGCUGGCGGCAUGCCUUACACAUGCAAGUCGAACGGCAGCACGGGUGCUUGCACCUGGUGGCGAGUGGCGAACGGGUGAGUAAUACAUCGGAACGUACCUUAUCGUGGGGAUAACGCAGCGAAAGUUGCGCUAAUACCGCAUACGCCCUGAGGGGGAAAGCGGGGGACCGUAAGGCCUCGCGCGAUUAGAGCGGCCGAUGUCUGAUUAGCUUGUUGGUGAGGUAAAAGCUAACCAAGGCGAUGAUCAGUAGCUGGUUUGAGAGGACGAUCAGCCACACUGGGACUGAGACACGGCCCAGACUCCUACGGGAGGCAGCAGUGGGGAAUUUUGGACAAUGGGGGCAACCCUGAUCCAGCAAUGCCGCGUGAGUGAAGAAGGCCUUCGGGUUGUAAAGCUCUUUUGUCAGGGAAGAAACAGCAGCUCUAACACAGUCUGCGAAUGACGGUACCUGAAGAAUAAGCACCGGCUAACUACGUGCCAGCCGCCGCCGUAA